rnacentral:tRNA from 1 species
GGCGGGUGUAGCUCAAUGGUAGAGUAACAGCCUUCCAAGCUGAUGAUGAGGGUUCGAUUCCCUUCACCCUGCUCCA